ACGGGAGAGUAACACAUUGGUAACCUACCCUUGUCUCGGGGACAACUCGAAGAAAUUCGAGCUAAUACCCGAUGGUUUACCCCGACGCAAGUCGGAGUAAUAAAGAUUUAUCGGACAAGGAGGGGCCUAUGGUCUAUCAGCUUGUUGGUGAGGUAAUGGCUCACCAAGGCGACGACGGAUAGCGGGUGUGAGAGCACGACCCGUCUCACUGGGACUGAAACACUGCCCAGACUCCUACGGGAGGCUGCAGUCGAGAAUCUUUCACAAUGGGCGAAAGCCUGAUGGAGCGACGCCGCGUGAGUGAUGAAGCCCUUCGGGGUGUAAAGCUCUUUUCUAGAGGAAAAAUUUUGAUUGUACUCUGGGAAUAAGGCGCUGCCAACUUCGUGCCAGCAGCAGCGGUAAUACGAAGGCGCCAAGCGUUAUCCGGAAUCACUGGGCGUAAAGAGUUCAACGGCGGCUUAUUAAGUUUUCGGUUAAAUUUCUGGGCUCAACCCAGAAACCGCCGAAAAAACUGACAAGCUAGAGGGUAGGAAAGGUAGACGGAAUUGCCGGUGUAGUAGUAAAAUGCGUUAAUAUCGGCAAGAAGACUCAUUGCGAAGGCAGUCUACUAGAAUGCUCCUGACGCUUCACGAACGAAAGCGUGGGUAGCGAAUGGGAUUAGAUACCCCAGUAGUCCACGCCGUAAACGAUGGAUACUAGGUAUUGGAAGUAUCGACCCUUUCAGUACCGUUUUAAGCUAACGCGUUAAGUAUCCCGCCUGGGGAGUACGGCCGCAAGGCUAAAACUCAAAGGAAUUGACGGGAACCCGCACAAGCGGUGGAGCAUGUGGUUCAAUUCGACAAUAAACGAGAAACCUUACCAGGGCUUGGCAUCCUCGGGAUCCCUCCGAAAGGAGGGAGUGCCUUCGGGAACCGAGUGACAGGUGCUGCAUGGCUGUCGUCAGCUCGUGUCGUGAGAUGUACGGUUAAGUCCGGAAACGAGCGCAACCCCUGUUGCAUGUUAAAUGUUCAUGCGAGACUGCCCUCUUUAAGAGGGAGGAAGGAAGGGAUGACGUCAAGUCAGCAUGGUCCUCUGAUGCCCUGGGCGACACACGUGCUACAAUGGCCGGUACAAUGAGGCGCCAACCGUAAGGUGGAGCUAAUCUCAUCAGAACCGGUCUCAGUUCGGAUUGAGGGCUGCAACUCGCCCUCAUGA
rnacentral:rRNA from 1 species